rnacentral:lncRNA from 10 species
AUUUACUCUCUUAUCCUGAGAAUGACCAACAGCCCUGUAAAAGACAGAGCACUUCUUUUUCUUUGCUAGCUGAACUGGAUCCAUUCAUCCUCAAUGUCACAGAAGAAAAACGAUGUGAUGAAAACCUUUCUUGAAUAGACAUACCAGAGAUCAGGCUCUGUGUCAGGCUUGGAUCCGUAGUGGUGAGGUGAGUUGAGAUGAAGAAAAUCUGUGGAGAAAAAAAGAAGAUGAAAACAUGAAACAAACACAGAUGUACGCUCAUAGGAAAAACAGACUUGUCUAGGGUGAAGCAAUCACAAGGCACCUGGAGAAAGGAGUGGGGAAGCCGAAAAAGUGCAACUACUCAAAAGAUGGUCCAUAGAGAGAGUAGAUUACAGGAAUCCUGUCCUGUAACAACAGCUUCUGCCCAAGCUCCAUCCUCUGGAUCUUACCUGUCCCUUUCCUGAUACCAAAAAACAAGACAAAACAACCCUACAAACUUCGGUAUUACAUGAACGAAAAUAUAGAGAGAAUGAUAUAAGGAGUAACAUUUUAAAAUUUUAUUUAUUGUUAUGUAAUAGAGUACAUAUUUUUGGAGUACAGGUGAUAAUCUAAUAUGUUCGUAUAAUUUGUAAAGAUCAAAUCAGUGUAAUUGGGAUGUCCACCACCUUAAAUAUUUGUCUCUAUUUAUGCAAGAAAUGUUUGAAUUAAUCUCUUCCAGCUACUUUGAAAUGUAUGAUAGAUUAUUAUGAACCACAGUCACCCUACUGAUCUAUCAAACACUUGGUCUUAUUUCUUCUAACUAUAUAUUUUUACUCAUUAGUCAAACUUAAAAAGUUACAUUUUAAAAAAGCAUUGUAGCUUUUAAAAUACUAGUCUAUAUAUUUUCAUGUAAAGACCUAAAAGAACAAGAGUAAUCAUUUAAUAACAUAGUUUUAAAAAUAAUUUCCUUUCAAAGAAUUCUUGAUAACCUUUCAUAUGUCAUUUUGUGACAACUUUAUUUAAAAACUGUUAGUGCUUCAACUGUUAUUAAGCUAAAUGGUCACAGUUCUAUUAAUACGGUAUACUAAAAGUGAAAAUUAUCUAAAUAUUACACUAAAUAUUAUCUAAAUAUCAUUUUGUGACAACUUUAUUUAAAAACUGUUAGUGCUUCAACGGUUAUUAAGCUAAAUGGUCACAGUUCCAUUAAUACUGUAUACUAAAAGUGAAAAUUAUCUAAAUAUACAUUAAAUAUUAUCUAAAUAUUACAUAGUGACCUCAGGGCACUAUAAGACCUCAGGACACCACUAUUCAGUUUCCUAAAUGGCAUCAAAUUGAUUCUGAUGUAAUCAUAUUUGAGUUCAGUAAUACUUUUUGUUGCCCAGAUAUUAGUAGGCACAAAUAAUUUAUUCUUAAUUUUAUUAUUACUAAAAUACUUUGUUUAGUUAGUCUGAUUGUCUAGUUUUUAGCUAAUCUGAUUUGUUUAUUUAAUUUGAUUUUUCAGUGAGGUUUCCAGUUGUUAUGGGAUCAUCUAACCAAGAGUUAGAGCAUUAUCUGAAAAUAUACAUAGACCACGCAUACAGAUAACUUUAAAAUAUGCUUAGGCUGCACUAUUAUCUAAAAACCUUAAAAUGCCAUGCAAGUUUGUGUCACUUGCAUGAGGUGGAUGUCAGACAUGAUGUUUGACAACUUUGGGAGCCAUCACAUUGAAGAUCAUGAGGGCAGACAUGAUGCCAUGAACCCAUAUGGGACCAGCAUUGUUUCCUGAUACUGACAAGAGAAGGCAUCCUCUGUUCGUGCAUAUGCUUGCCAGUUAGGACUACUUGCUGAUGGUUUUUGUUCAAAUAAAAGUUGCCACUAAAAGGAUACUAACUUAAAGAAAUUAUCACUCUCUGUCUCUGGAGAAGCCUAGCAUAUUCAUUUAUGAUUAUUUUAAGAGUGAGGCAAGUUAUGACUUGCCUAUAAAUGUCUCUGCUAUAUAUAAUUAUAUUUUUCUAAACCUUAACUUGAUUUCAAACUUAAGUCUCCAUUCCGCUGAGUGCAGAAAAAUCAUCCCAGCCAAUUCAGAUUAAUUUUGAUCAGAAGUUCCUUUGUCAGGGAUUUAUUUUUCCCCUUCUCUUUUUCCUGGCUUGGAUUUAAGUUCUGGAGGCACUGGUGGCAGGGAGCAGCUGAUCUUCUCACCUUUCCAUGUUAUUGUGUCCACUGACAACAUCUGCAUCCUGGCCAGCACUGGUCUAUGUUGAAGCUACUGCAUCCUCCCUGCCUUCCUGUGAAAGCAAUUGUGUGUGCAGUUUUCUCUGCCAGACUUGCUUCACUCUUGCUAGUGCAGUGAAACAUCCUAUAGAUACUUCUACAGGAUUGCGCCUCACACAGAGUGGUGUGGACAACUCUGUGAGGCUUGCUGCCUCCCAGACUCCCCUUUAGUCAGAGGUCCUCUCUGUGUUCCAAACCCAUCUGAGGCUUUUAUUGGAUAAGUGACACAGUGUAUAGAACCCAUAUUAAAGGCCAUGCUAAUAUUUUAGAUAUUGCUGCCUCUUGAGCUCUCUUCUGAGCCUGGACAACCUUUAUCUUGCAGACAUAUGUAGGUAGGUAGUAGAAGUCUUUUAUAUCUACUGUUUAAUGCAUAAACUUUAUGUUCAAAGUAAAUCAGGCUUACGUUACUCAAAAUGAAGUUAUCUGAAAAUCAAAAUUCCCUUUCUUGCAAAUCAUUGUUUUUGUACUUAAAAAUAAUGUUCUCUUUUCUUGUUCAACACUAAUUUUUCUGCUGCGAUAACCCUGCCCUGAGUUAAUGCAUAUAAAGAUCUAGUCUGAAUGGUGAGAGAGUCAUAGGUUUAUAAGACCACAACAACAAUCAAAUAAUUACAGUGAAUAAAAAGUCAUAUUGAUUAACACAUCAAAAGAAUAACAACCUAUAGCUGGUUGUUCUUUCAUUGCUUUAUCAGAUCAAGCCCACUGUUUGAAAUGGAUAAAAGAGAAUAAUGAGUAGGAUGUCUGGGUGAGAGAUUCUUUUUCCUCUUGCUUUACAAAAAUAGUGACAAUUUUUAUACUCAAAUAUAUAUGAAAUGUUACUGAUAAGUAAAAUUUCAGAAUUUAACUCUGUAAUUUUUGAUGUGCAAUCUUGCAGAGAAAAGAACUUUAGUUGAAGCAAUACAGUAUCAAAUAAUUGUUUUAAGAGUUUGAAUUUUAGAAAAGCUGUCUCAGGUGAAGGGGCAGUUAGUAAUGAUAAAAUUGACUAAAUGUGAGGUUUAUCUUGUCUUACGGGGGUAGUUUUAUUAGGAACAGCACUCAUUCUUUACUUCAAACCUGUAAUAGCUUCUUCUUCCUUUUCCUUAUAAAAUUUGAACAAUUCAACACAGCACUUAGUGACAACUGGGAACUGACUUGAACCCAUAGUAUUUUCAGGCUUUGCCUUUUCUCUGUGUACUUUUGUAAGUCUGCCCCUCAGGGCCCACUGGGCUUCUGCUUUCCUCUCAAACACAUUGAAUUUUUCCAGCUGCACAAACUGAGACAGCCUAUUCCCCUCACCAGGAGGUGUUGCCUUCCUCACAGCGAAUGAGCUACUCCUUUCCUUCCACUCCACCUCAUAUCUCUCUCAGUCUCUGUCACUGCCCCCUUUUCCCCCAUCAUAAGGAAUCUCCAGGCUCUCUCAUAGCUCUCCUACAGCCGAUCAUUAAAGUUAACAUAUAUUAUGGAUAUUUAUGUAGUAAAAACAGGACUAGACACAGAAGAUUAAAACUUGGGGUUUAAAACCCUGCUUUAAACAUCAGACCAAGUCGAUCAUUAAAGUUAACAUAUAUUAUGGAUAUUUAUGUAGUAAAAACAGAACUAGACACAGAAGAUUAAAACUUGGGGUUUAAAACCCUGCGUUAAACAUCACACUAAGUCAUUUCAGUUCUUUGAGCAUCAGCUCAGCCUGUGGAUUUCAUAACUGUCCCUGCACUCUUUUCAGUUGAAGUUUAUUGGCUAAAGUUUUCAACUUCUCGUGUACGGAAACCAAGUCUCAAUUUCAAACAGCGAUUUUACUCCGUAACUAUCUGCUAAAUAAAAUGGAAUGCUGGAUGAGAAGCAAAAAGCUUACUGAUCAGUCUAAUGGGAUAACUGGGGAAAAUAAUGGUAAUGUUUAGUUAUUUUAUUUUAUUCUUAUUGACAAGGGAUAGGUAAGGAGUUGGUCAGGGACUACCCUGUCCCUUCCCUUUAUUUUAGCCAAUGAUUGUGAGUUCCUUCUCCUAUAACCAAGUUUUAUUGCGCUUUCUUUGUAAAACUAAGGAGAGGUAGAAUAUAGUAGUUCAUAGCAAAGAAAAAGGCAGAAGAUUAACUACUAAUUCACAAUUCACUUGACAAGCUUCUGAUUAAAUUCACAAAGUCUUGCCAGGUAAAUACUAAAUCAUGCCACUUUAUUUCAAAGAGGACAAAAAAUACUUCAAUUUCUUGACAACAACCUAAGCCUUUUCAGUAGUUCAACAAGUGGCAUUAGGUGUUUUAGCUCAUCACUAUAGCUUCACGUUUUAUCAUGGGUUCAUGCUGAUGAGAUUAUCUAUUUCAAAUAAGACAAAAAAUAAGCUUACCUCCAUCCUUCUUAGCAAAUCACAUCGGUUAUUCAAUUAUGUGUUCUUUGUUUGUGGGUACCUGAAAUAAUGAGAAGGAAUAGAAAAAGAAAAUUAAAUAUAACUCAACAGCAUUUUGUAAAAGGCAAAUAUUUACAAUUUUAAUUGAUGACAGACACACACUUCAUAAUACGAUUAGCAUGCAACUCCAGCUGCAAAAACUGAACAGCAAUAUGCCUAAGCUGGUUAGCAGCAAAAAAGUAAACCAAUCACAUCGACAAAAAGCCACCAUAAACAAAAAAACUGUAUUUAAAAGAUUAACAGUUUUGGCAUUCAUCCCUAGCAUCAAGUCUUUCACUUUCUUUUUUUCCAUCAAAAUUUAGCUUACAUUUGAAGUUAGCAAGAGUUGCAUUACUAUUAUUGUUAAUUUUAGUUCUGUUUAUUGCCUUGAGGGUUAUAUAAUGUCAAAUAAUUUUGGUGCCUCUAGUUAAUUUUAAUUAGUUGUUUUAAUAGCCUAUAGACCUAUUUGUUAUAUUUUUGUAGGUUUACUUUUUUAACUAUCAGGAACUUAAUAACUGAGAAUAUUUAACAUUACUGUUGCAUAGGCAAAAUUACAGAGUUACUAUUAGUGUUACCUGUUUAACGUUUAGUCAUCCUUUGAGUCCUGCGACAUAUUUCCUUAAUAAUCAUCAGCCAUCAAGUCUGAUAGUCUCAAAAGAAAUAUCAGCCCUCUAAACUGCCUUCUAGGGCGGUGAUAUUUAGCACUGAAAAUUACAAAUAAAGUUUUUGAGGUUGAAUAGCAACAACUGGCCAGUGACACUGAUGAUUUGUUUGUCAAAACAAAUUGUUAUAAACUACGCGAAUGAAGUCCACGCACUCCUUUGAGUGAAAACAAUAAAGUGAAUCUACGCAAUGCUUACAUGUUGGAUGGGAUAUUUAAUGUGCGGGGAAACUCAAAGGUUGAAGAACUAGGCAUUUAGACAGUGGUAAGUGGUAAUCUUACCUCUUUAUACUCCAUUACUCUUUCUCACGAGAGACAUGCUAAUGCAAACAAGUCAAUCAGAAUUUGUGUUUAGCAAGAUAAAGCUUAGAGGAUAGUUUAAAAUCCAUUUAUUAUUCUAAAUCCAUUUUUUUCCAUUAACAUGUUAUACAUUAGUGUUUACUAACCAUGAUUCAUGUAACAGUUUAGUUUGUUAACUUUUAAAUUAUUUAACAACCAUAAGUUAUUAAUACAUUUUUAAGUAUUACACAAAUAUCUUAAAACAGACUUGGGUUCAUUUUUGUAAUUUUUAAAUAGAAAACAUUUUAGGCAUCUCUUGAAGAAGAAAUAAAGCAGGCAUUUAAAGCUAGAAAACAAGUAAUUCCAAAUUUAAUUUUUACAAAAGUUUUCAGCUUUAUUGACAAAUUAUGGCA